rnacentral:lncRNA from 1 species
CGAGGGUGCUGCCCCGCGUCCGCACCCCUGCCGCCCCCUGUGUGCUCCUCUCGUGGCUGUUUCCUCCCGUCCCGUCUGGGUUAUCAGACAGCCGGGACGGCAAGAAACCGCCGCUCCCGGGAUUCCCUGGCGUCUGCCUGCAUCGGGUUCCCAAGAUGCUUUCAUACCGCCCUUGGCGGGGCGCGGUGGGUGCGGGGACUGGGUUCCUGGCCAACACGAGUUCCUUGAGGACAGCACAGCUGGACCUGACGCUGACUGACCACCCACCAUAUUCCAGAUGCUUUGUGCGUCUCUAUUGGUCACUGAAGCUCUCAGCAGCCCUGCGGCUUUGGUAUUACUAUACCCACUGUACAGAUGAGGACACAGACGUGAAGUGGCCUCCCUGACUCACACAGCAAGAACCCGGGUGGCUUCCAGGUGACCUGCCAGCACCAAGACCGCCUUCCUGCUCUCCUGCCGUGGGCUGUCAAUGCUCCUUGGGACUUCCUCUGACUGUCAGCAUUCACCAAGCCUGCCGCCAGCGCCGGGUUUGGAGUUUCAGAAGUGAAGGAGGUGCACCCCUUCUCCUGGAGGAGCGGGCCCUAAUUUCUGCGGGCUCCCGGGGGCGCCGUUGGCACCGCGGAAGGGCCGUCGAAUGUCUGGAGGAAGGCGCGCUCUGCUCGGGUUUUGCACGAACGGGCCCCAGCGGCGGGCGGCGAUGGUUCCCCGGGCCCAGGGUGCUCAGCCCCAGGGUGCUCAGCCCCGGCGCCGCCCUCUUCAGUCAGGGGUCCCGAGCCCGUGGGAGGCGCGGGCGGUUCGGCCUUGCCGGCAGGGGGCGCGCCAGCCCGACGGGCCGUGGAGGGCCCCCCACCCUCCCCUACCCAGCGCCCGCUCCCACGCCUACUACGCGGUCCCUCUGCUCCCACCCCGCCUACGCGGUCCCUCUGCUCCGACUGGUUCUCUUUCCAGCUCAGCUCCCGGGAACUGAGGCCCUGACGGUCGGCCCAGUCUUAUCGGCCUGCUGCAGGGACCUCACUGCCCUGCAGACGCCCCUGUGGCUCCUGCUGCUAUCCUUCCGCAGCUCGAUAAUUGCACAGAAUGGGAAUAGGGCCCAUCCCCGGGGGCCCCUUGGACCCUUGGACCUGCUGCCCCAGGGGCGUCUAUAGGCACUUCCACGGGCCCAGCUCCGCGCCAAGCACUUUCACGGAUUAUGUCUUAAUCCCAACCCAACAGGGAGAGGCGAUGGUAAUUGCCAUUUCACAAUGGGGGGGCCCCAUGGGGGUGUUCUGUGUGCCCCCAGAUUCUCCUGCUCCUCCACCCUCCUCUCUUUGGCUCCUCCGUGGCUGGGGUGGAAUGAGGAUGGGAAAAGAAAGGGAAGAUUUUCCCUGCCUGCCGCCCAUGUCCUCUGGUGUGUUUUUGCUUUGGCCAAAGCAACGAUUCAAGCUGUCUAGGUUUUUUCCUGGAGGAUUGUUUUGAGAUUUUUGGGAGCCCCCAUCGCCAGGAAUGCCUCACACUGCUCUUCUUCCUGGGCAGGGCCUCCUCUGAUUGGCUGUGGGUACUCUAGGACCAUCUCCACGGGGUCCCACAGCUCACUCCCCUUCUGCCCCAGCCCACAACCCUCAUGCCUAAAGCCCCUCUGAACAACUCCAAGUCACCAUUCCUCACCCAGGUCCUGGCUUUGGACACAGGGUUUACCGUGGAGUGGCCAGCCAGGUCCGCAUCCCACCUGCAAGCUUUCCCAGGCCUGGGACCCACCCAGUGGCUGAGCACCCCUGGAAUCCAGGACACACAGGCCAAGCCCUGCUCACUCAGCCUUCCAGGAGGGGAGGAAUCCCAUGCACCUCCCCCCAUGGGUUGGGAGAAGUAGAGCACCCCAACAGUUCCCUGUAGAGAGAGCGCCCCUCUGCCUUCCACCUGCUCCUGCUGGCUCUGUCUCCACUGUAGGCAGGAGGGGCCCUCUCCUGAGGUUUCUAAAGCUAGUUCUUAACCACCUGGGUUGAAAGGACUACUUUAGAUGGUCUAGCACCUUGUUUUAGAACGUGGGUGCAGUUGGCAGCUCUGGCUGAAACUGAAUCUGAAAAGCCUGCAUUUUAAAAAAUAGCAUUUUAUUUUGAAGCAAUUCCAGACUUUCAGAAAAGUUACAAAAA